rnacentral:rRNA from 1 species
UACGAGGGGGGCGAGCGUUGUUCGGAAUUAUUGGGCGUAAAGGGUGCGUAGGCGGUUUGGUAAGUCUGAUGUGAAAUCUAUGGGCUCAACUCAUAGUCUGCAUCGGAAACUGCCGGGCUUGAGUAUGGGAGAGGUGAGUGGAACUGCGAGUGUAGAGGUGAAAUUCGUAGAUAUUCGCAAGAACACCGGUGGCGAAGGCGGCCAACUGGACCAUUACUGACGCUGAGGCGCGAAAGCGUGGGGAGCAAACAGG